rnacentral:tRNA from 1 species
GAUUUUCCGUAGCUCAACUGGAUAGAGCAGCUGACUUCUAAUCAGCAGGUUGGGGGUUCGAGCCCUCCCGGAAUCGCCA